CCUACGGGUGGCAGCAGUGGGGGAUAUUGCACAAUGGGGGAAACCCUGAUGCAGCGACGCCGCGUGAGUGAAGAAGUAUCUCGGUAUGUAAAGCUCCUUUAGCAGGGAAGAAAAUGCCAGUACCUGACCAAGACGCCCCGGCUAACUACGUGCCAGCAGCCGCGGUAAUCCGUAGGGGGCAAGCGUUAUCCGGAUUUACUGGGUGUAAAGGGGGCGUAGUCGGUUAUGUAAGUCUGGAGUGAAAGCCCGGGGCCCAACCCCGGGACUGCAUUGGAAACUGUGUAACUGGAGUACAGGAGGGGCAGGCGGAAUUCCUGGUGUAGUGGUGAAAUGCGUAGAUAUCAGGAGGAACACCGGCGGCGAAGGCGGCCUGCUGGACUGAAACUGACGUUGAGGCUCGAAAGCGUGGGGAGCAAACAGGAUUAGAUACCCGGGUAGUC
rnacentral:rRNA from 1 species